ensembl:miRNA Mir100 microRNA mir-100
UGUUGCCACAAACCCGUAGAUCCGAACUUGUGUUGAUCGUCCACACAAGCUUGUGUCUAUAGGUAUGUGUCUGGUA